rnacentral:lncRNA from 1 species
UGUCGUUUUCAUGGAUCUCACCGAGGUAAGUGAAUAGUAAAAGUUUUUAUAUUAAUAAACGAGUUCGUUAUAAAUUAUGCUCCAUUGUUUAUUUUUGUUUUCUACCCACCUUUACUUCCGUGGCGGUGAGAUAGUGUGAUGUCUUUACUGGGCUAGUGUAGCUCAUUCCUUAUUUAACCAUUUCAGAUCAGGAAGACAUUGUUCCCGAGCCCGUUCCGCAGGAAGACGGCGAAGGGGACGCCUAAAGACUCCAUAGUUAUAUUUAUAGUUCUUAUCUCGAGUAUCUCUUUUAGUUAGUUUGUUCUUUCAUGUUUUGAGUACAUUUUGGUUAUUGUGUAAGGGAUGUUAAUCAAAAUUUUUAUUACGCUUCUGCAUUUGACAUUU